rnacentral:tRNA from 1 species
ACGGCUGUAGCUCAGAGAACAGAGCGCAACAGUGCGAACGUUGAGGUCGCAGGUUUGAGUCCUGCCAGCCGUACCA